CCUACGGGUGGCAGCAGUGAGGAAUAUUGGUCAAUGGGAGAGAUCCUGAACCAGCCAAGCCGCGUGAGGGAAGACGGCCCUAUGGGUUGUAAACCUCUUUUGUCGGGGAACAAAACCCGGGACGUGUCCCGGACUGCGUGUAUCCGCAGAAAAAGCAUCGGCUAACUCCGUGCCAGCAGGCGCGGUAAGACGGAGGAUGCGAGCGUUAUCCGGAUUUAUUGGGUUUAAAGGGUGCGUAGGCGGUCCGUUAAGUCAGAGGGAAAAUUGCGGGGCCCAACCCCGUCGAGCCGUUGAAACUGGCAGACUUGAGUUGGCGAGAGGUACGCGGAAUGCGCGGUGUAGCGGUGAAAUGCAUAGAUAUCGCGCAGAACUCCGAUUGCGAAGGCAGCGUACCGGCGCCAGACUGACGCUGAGGCACGAAAGCGUGGGGAUCGAACAGGAUUAGAUACCCUUGUAGUC
rnacentral:rRNA from 1 species